rnacentral:snoRNA from 1 species
GCAAAUUAUUUUCUUUCUCAUGAUGGUCUUCCAAGUCUCGUAGAGGCUGUGACGAUCCUGCUGAAUGGUUUUACUGAUCGCAGAUC